UGCAAGUCGAACGCUGAUUUCAAGGUAGCAAUAUUUUGGAGUCGGAGUGGCGCAAGGGUGCGUAACACGUGGGCAACCUGCCGUGAAGCCUGGAAUAACUCGCUGAAAGGCGAGCUAAUACCGGAUGUGAACGCAAGUUCAAAGCUGGGGACCGCAAGGCCUGGCACUUUACGAUGAGCCCGCGGCCUAUCAGCUAGUUGGUGAGGUAACGGCCCACCAAGGCUAAGACGGGUAGCUGGUCUGAGAGGACGACCAGCCACACUGGAACUGAGACACGGUCCAGACACCUACGGGUGGCAGCAGUCGAGAAUUUUUCUCAAUGGGCGAAAGCCUGAAGGAGCGACGCCGCGUGGGGGAUGAAUGGCUUCGGCCCGUAAACCCCUGUCAUUUGCGAACAAAUUGUUUCACCUAACACGUGAAGCAUUGAUAGUAGCGGAAGAGGAAGGGACGGCUAACUCUGUGCCAGCAGCCGCGGUAAUACAGAGGUCCCAAGCGUUGUUCGGAUUCACUGGGCGUAAAGGGUGCGUAGGUGGUCGGGUAAGUCUGUUGUGAAAUCUCCGAGCUUAACUCGGAAAUGGCAGUGGAUACUAUCCGGCUAGAGGAAUGGAGGGGAGACUGGAAUACUUGGUGUAGCAGUGAAAUGCGUAGAUAUCAAGUGGAACACCAGUGGCGAAGGCGAGUCUCUGGACAUUUCCUGACGCUGAGGCACGAAAGCCAGGGGAGCAAACGGGAUUAGAUACCCCGGUAGUCCUGGCCCUAAACGGUGCGCAUUUGCUGUGAGUGGAAUCGACCCCGCUCGUGGCGAAGCUAACGCGUUAAAUGCGCCGCCUGGGAAGUACGGCCGCAAGGUUAAAACUCAAAGAAAUUGACGGGGGCCUGCACAAGCGGUGGAGUAUGUGGCUCAAUUCGAUGCAACGCGAAGAACCUUACCUGGGCCUUGACAUGCAAGUGGUAGAAAGGAUGAAAGUCUGACGAUCCCGCAAAGGAAGCUUGCACAGGUGCUGCAUGGCUGUCGUCAGCUCGUGUCGUGAGAUGUUGGGUUAAGUCCCGCAACGAGCGC
rnacentral:rRNA from 1 species